UACAUAGGUCUCAAGCGUUGUUCGGAUUCAUUGGGCGUAAAGGGUGUGUAGGUGGCGCGCUAAGUCGGGUGUGAAAUUUCGGAGCUUAACUCCGAAACUGCAUUCGAUACUGGCGUGCUUGAGGACUGGAGGGGAGACUGGAAUUCCGGGUGUAGCGGUGGAAUGCGUAGAGAUCCGGAAGAACACCGGUGGCGAAGGCGGUGAGCUGGGCAAUUGCUGACACUGAGGCGCGACAGCGUGGGGAGCAAACAGG
rnacentral:rRNA from 1 species